UGUCCAGGGAUGGGAAUCGAACCCACAGUGUUCCGCUUACCGGGCAGAUGCCAUGUCCACUAGGCUAGGC
rnacentral:tRNA from 1 species